UCCCUAUUAAAAUGCAUCAGCAACAGAACUCUCCCUAUCGUAAUAAUCCAUUCGAUAGUAUGGCCAAGGCCUGCUUGGGCUCUCCGCCAAUUUUCUCUUCUUCCUUCAAACAUUUCCGCCCCUCUCCGGCCAAAAUCCCCGCCGUAUACGCCUUCCACGUCACCACCACCACCACUUCUACAACAAUGCCGACCCCCACCCUUCACUUGAAGUGAUAGGAGGUGCACGCGACCUAUUCCUACCGCCGCUAAUGAAGAUCUUAAGCAAUCCGUACACUCCAUUCCCUCUCAUUGCCUGUAAACGUCACGUGGAGACCAUAUUCGCCGCCUUCUUUCGUUCCAUUCCUCAAAUCAGGUUGCGGCGGGAGUGUCUUGGGACCGCUGAAGACGGUGCCGUCACGAUCGAUUGGGUCCCCGGAAACUCCGGUCGUCAUUUUACUGCCAGGUUUAACUUUGAGGGAGUGAUGAUUCAUAUGGGAGGCAUGUGUUGGUGGGAGCAAGAAGCAAAGGAUGGCGUGUGGUUGUCUUUGUUUUCAAUAGCAGAGUUCUACCCGGCUUCAUUUGUAGAAGAUAUGCAUGAAGUGAUACGAAUUGCUGCUAAGUGCUAAGUACCCAAAAACUAAUUUAUAUGCUAUUGGUUGGUCUCUUGGAACGAAUAUUCUCAUCCGCUACUUGGGUGAGGCACACUCUUCUAUUUGAAGACAUGGUUGGUGAAUAUAAUAUUCCAUCAGUUGCCAAUAAGAAGUCUGUUAAGGAGUUUAUGCAGGACUGAGUCGACUGACCCGUGGUAUAUGUUUCUUCUGGUGAAAAGUGAUUUUCUUUUUCUUUUCCCCCCUAUGCCACCCCUCUGAAGCAACAGAGAUGUAAGUUUAUGCAGCAUGCAUCAACUUUCAGCCGUGGAAAUGACAUGAUGCAGUUUCAUUUGGUUUCAAGUAAAUGGAUGACUACUAUUUUAAUUCAAGCAGUUCAGAUUCCAUAAAGCAUGUCUAAAUACCCUUGCUUUGCAUCCAGGCUACCAAAGACCCAAUUGCUCCUGCUAGGGGAAUUCCUCAUGAAGAUAUCAAGGUAUGUGAACUGGUCUCUAAUCUCUUGAGCUGUAUCUGCUGUUGUCCUUCAUGCAAAAUUGCAAAUCACCCUACAUCCUCAGCAAGCAAAAUGCUUCUUAGAGAUUUAUGUCAUUCCACCAUCAUUUAGACUGUGUUACUUCCCCCAAACUGAAGGGUUGCCACACCAUUUCUGGUUAUAUCCUUUAUUCUUUAUCUAAUAAUAAUAAAGGGCAGUAUAAAAAAGAAGCUUGUGUCCAUUUGUAUGUUGGAAAAUAUACAACUCUUUGAUCACACGACAAGACUUCACCUAAGACCAUCCACAAUGGAUGCCCUUGAUGCCCACUUGAUAU